UCACUAUUUUCUAUGUAUUUUUAAUUUUUAUUGAAGUUAGAAUUUGAUUGAUAAUCACGGUAUCCUAACGGCAACAUCGUGAUCAUAUCAGUACACUAUAAUAUUCAAUCUCUUCUUCUUUUUUAUAUCCUAUCAUAGAAAUCUCAUUAUUUUAGAUCCGUCGUUGUAUCUCAAGCUCUCUUGUGUGAAAUCUCAUUCUUCCAAUGAUACAGGAUGCAUAAUGGUUAACCUUCGAUCG
rnacentral:lncRNA from 1 species